ACAGCAGGGCAGCAGGGAGCCCACCACAGGCUGGGUCUUAGCUGCACACGCUGGCUCAGCUCUUGUGUGCUGGGCCUGUGUUCAUCCAGGCUCUCCCGGCCUGCAGGUGCCCCCAGCUCCAUCCAGUGAGGACGGCUGUCUGCAUGGCUACUCCCGGGGCCUUUGCAACUCCUGUUCUUCUCCGUGUGUCUGCCAGGAUCUCCUGGGUGGCUUGGCUCAGGGCCCCGGGCCAACGUUUCCCCCAAGACAAUCUCUCUCUCUCAUGCAUUGGGUGGUUUCAUCCUACCUCAGGCUUUGCUUCUGUAGCGACUUCUUCUUUAACCAGAAUGAGUCAUGGUGUGGAUUUUAUUUGUUCCGACAGAAAGCAGCGGAAGGCCUGUCUGUGUGUCUGUGCUGUGGCAUUGGGAGCUGGGGCCAGGGAAAGAACUCAGGCAGUUGUUCCGCAGGGAGUUCCCCAGCGGCCAAGGGCCAAACUGCCCGAGGCCUGAGCACUGGCCCUGGCACCGAGGAAGAGGGACGGACUCAGACAAGAUCCAGCCUUCUGUCCAAACACCAGCCCGAAGGGUCUGAGGCACGGGAGCCCCCAGGGAGUCCGGAAAGAAGGUUCACGAAACCAUAUGAAGGGAUCGAUGCUGUGUCCGGAUUAGAACUCAGGCGAUGGACGGACCGAUAAUGCCUCGUGCGCACCGGAAGCAGAGCUCCAUAGGCCCUCCAGAGACCCCAGGCAGGCCCGGACAAGAAAAUCCUGCUGUGAGCGGGACGGUGUGCUGGCUGCUCUCAGGCCGCAGGGGAUGAAGCCGGGUCCCGUGGGGGAGAUGGGCCCUGGCCCAUGUGGCUCCAGCACAAGACAAGGAGUGACGUGUGCCAUCAGAGAGGAGGCCCAGAAAGGGAAGGUCAUUUUAGGCCAAGAGAAUGAUCUAGAACGCCUUCAUGGAGAAAGUGGCCUUGCCAAGAUGAAUGUCAUUAACAGCAGUGUGUAUUUUGUUGUGAAUGGGUUUUCAAUUAUUCCAAGGAUGUUCGUGUUGCCGCCUCAGCUGGCCUGUGAGUUAUUUGAGAGUGCAACCACAUUUUACUCAGAAUCCGGUAAAAUCCAGCAGAUGCUUAGUAAACAAAGAUCAGUCAGAAUAACUUCUAUCUGGGAAAAGUCAGUGCGGCUUCACCUCCAAGCCUUCCCAGCAUGUCAAGAAUGUGGGUGUUCCUCGUCUUACCUCUGGGCUAGAGAUUUAAGCCAUGAGUUUAGUCUCUCUGAACAGGCUCCUAGAACCCCUGCUAAAUGCCGGGGAUUACAGCCUUGAUUUCAGGAAGAGAGACAGUGAAAUAGGCAAUGACUAUUCAGUUUGAGAAAUGCCAGGAGAAGGGAAAUAUAGACUAUUAUGGGGGUGGCUAAUCCCCCUAUGGGAAGGGAUGGUUAGAGAAGGUUUCCCAGGGGAAGUGGUACCUAAGGUGAGAAAAGAACAUGAAAGAAGGGGCUGGCCAGCCACCACCUGUGACACUGGCCUCCCACAUCAGAGCACAGCUUCCAGUCCCGGCUGCUCUGGUUCUGAUCCAACACCCUGCCGAUGUUCCUGGGAAGACACCAGAAAGUGGCCCAAGUACUUGGGCCCCUGCCGCUCUCGUGGGAGACCAGGAUGGAGUUCCAGGUUCCUGGCUGUUUGUGGACAUUUGGCUGUUUGUGGGCAUUUGGGGUGUGAAUCAGUGGAUGGAGGAUCUCCCUUUCUCUGUGUCUCUCCCCUCUCCUGUCACUCUUUCAAAUAAAUUUUAAAAAAAGUUAAAAAAUUAGAUCCUAUAAUAGCUGAAAAAUAAAGAAUAUGAACAGGACUUUCCGUUCCAGCUGUGAACAGCCUUGAAAGCCAGACAGAAUGCAUGAAAGAGCUGUUUCCGGGCACUGGACCACAAUGAAAACAAAGCAGGACACUUGAGAGAGAGAGGAAGUGUGGGGCAGAACCCACAGCCAGCCCUGCCUUCCCUGUGCAGGCGUUUUCUUUCCUGCAGCCCAGGGAAGGGGAGUGCACCCCAACAGCACAGUCUCCCUGGAUGGAGGGAAGACUGGAAGCGGGGCUGCCAGGACUAC